UACGUAGGGUGCGAGCGUUAAUCGGAAUUACUGGGCGUAAAGCGUGCGCAGGCGGUUUUGUAAGCCAGGUGUGAAAUCCCCGGGCUCAACCUGGGAAUGGCAUUUGGGACUGCAAGGCUGGAGUGCGGCAGAGGAGACUGGAAUUCCUGGUGUAGCGGUGAAAUGCGCAGAUAUCGGGAGGAACACCGGUGGCGAAGGCGGUUCUCUGGGCCUGUACUGACGCUGAGGAGCGAAAGCGUGGGGAGCGAACAGG
rnacentral:rRNA from 1 species